AUGCGCCUCUCCGGUCCGCGUCUUCUGUCUCCCCACCCCCAGCGGGGGCAGAAGAGGGCGCAGCUGUCCUCUCACCCCCUCCUUCGCCCCCCACCCCGCUCUCCCCACCGCCAGCUUUGUAUAUUCUCUGCCUGUCCACGGAGAAGAGGCGGCCCACGCUGUUCUCCGGGCGCGAGGAUUCAUAACUCUGUCUGGCUGUUCAACUUACCCCCCGUGUUGAAUUGUGUUUCUUCUGGUAAGGAGAGCCCCAGGGGAGGAAGGGGAAGUGGGCAUGAACCCCUCUCCAGCAGGCACAGAGGGUGUUCUGGUAUUGGCUGUGGUUUUGUUUGUGUGUGUGGGGGGUUCCGCCAUACCUCCCUGUCCUCACUGUCUCAGUCCUUCUGGAACCUUGGUGGGAGCCUAGAUGUGUUGAGUGGAGGGAUGUGGGCCAGAUCCUGGGGUCCCUCCUUAGUUGGUGAGAUAGGGGCUCCAGGGCUGGUGGUCUGCAUGAGCCCUGGGAAGCUGAGAUGGACAGGCCUUUCAUGCUCACUUGGUCCUUACUUCCCUCCUUUGAUUUCAGAGGUAGGACUCUGAGACCUGGAAAGUAAUGACGUGCCCAGGCCUCUGGUGGGCCCCACAUCAUCCCCCCAGCUGUCCCUAGC
rnacentral:lncRNA from 1 species